rnacentral:tRNA from 1 species
GGAGCUGUGCCUGAAGUAAAGGGCCACUUUGAUAGAGUGAACCAUGGGGGUUAAAUUCCCCCCAACUCCU